ACGAACGCUGGCGGCGUGCCUAAUACAUGCCAGUUGAGCGCUGAAGGUUGGUACUUGUACCAACUGGAUGAGCAGCGAACGGGUGAGUAACGCGUGGGGAAUCUGCCUUUGAGCGGGGGACAACAUUUGGAAACGAAUGCUAAUACCGCAUAAAAACUUUAAACACAAGUUUUAAGUUUGAAAGAUGCAAUUGCAUCACUCAAAGAUGAUCCCGCGUUGUAUUAGCUAGUUGGUGAGGUAAAGGCUCACCAAGGCGAUGAUACAUAGCCGACCUGAGAGGGUGAUCGGCCACAUUGGGACUGAGACACGGCCCAAACUCCUACGGGAGGCAGCAGUAGGGAAUCUUCGGCAAUGGACGAAAGUCUGACCGAGCAACGCCGCGUGAGUGAAGAAGGGUGUCGGAUCGUAAAACUCUGUUGGUAGAGAAGAACGUUGGUGAGAGUGGAAAGCUCAUCAAGUGACGGUAACUACCCAGAAAGGGACGGCUAACUACGUG
rnacentral:rRNA from 1 species